AGUUUGAUCCUGGCUCAGGACGAACGCUGGCGGCGCGCCUAACACAUGCAAGUCGAACGGAGCUUAGAGAGCUUGCUUUUUAAGCUUAGUGGCGAACGGGUGAGUAACGCGUGAGUAACCUGCCCUAGAGUGGGGGACAACAGUUGGAAACGACUGCUAAUACCGCAUAAGCCCACGGUACCGCAUGGCACUGAGGGAAAAGGAUUUAUUCGCUUUAGGAUGGACUCGCGUCCAAUUAGCUAGUUGGUGGGGUAACGGCUUACCAAGUCGACGAUCAGUAGCCGGACUGAGAGGUUGAACGGCCACAUUGGGACUGAGAUACGGCCCAGACUCCUACGGGAGGCAGCAGUCGGGAAUAUUGCGCAAUGGAGGAAACUCUGACGCAGUGACGCCGCGUGCAGGAAGAAGGUUUUCGGAUUGUAAACUGCUUUAGACAGGGAAGAAAUAAGACAGUACCUGUAGAAUAAGCUCCGGCUAACUACGUGCCAGCAGCCGCGGUAAUACGUAGGGAGCGAGCGUUAUCCGGAUUUAUUGGGUGUAAAGGGUGCGUAGACGGGAAGAUAAGUUAGUUGUGAAAUCCCUCGGCUUAACUGAGGAACUGCAACUAAAACUGUUUUUCUUGAGUACUGGAGAGGAAAGUGGAAUUCCUAGUGUAGCGGUGAAAUGCGUAGAUAUUAGGAGGAACACCAGUGGCGAAGGCGACUUUCUGGACAGAAACUGACGUUGAGGCACGAAAGUGUGGGGAGCAAACAGGAUUAGAUACCCUGGUAGUCCACACCGUAAACGAUGGAUACUAGGUGUAGGGGAUAAUAAAUCCUCUGUGCCGCCGCAAACGCAAUAAGUAUCCCACCUGGGGAGUACGGCCGCAAGGUUGAAACUCAA
rnacentral:rRNA from 1 species